rnacentral:rRNA from 1 species
GACAGAGGGUGCAAACGUUGUUCGGAAUUACUGGGCGUAAAGCGCGUGUAGGCGGCUUGGCAAGUCGGAUGUGAAAGCCCUGGGCUCAACCUAGGAAGUGCACUCGAAACUGCAGAGCUUGAGUCUCGGAGAGGAUCGCGGAAUUCUCGGUGUAGAGGUGAAAUUCGUAGAUAUCGAGAGGAACACCGGUGGCGAAGGCGGCGAUCUGGACGAUGACUGACGCUGAGACGCGAAAGCGUGGGGAGCAAACAGG